UACAGCCUGGCUUAGUAUCUACAGCCCCGCCCUCCCCUCCUCCCUCCUUAAUUCCUUGUACAAUUGAAUUUGAAAAUAGCACCAAGGCGGGAGGUGUGUUUUUCCACUGGUCACCGCUGACUCAUUAUCUUCCCUGUUUCUGAGUAGCUCUUCCAAAUCCUUCUCCAGCGUCUCUACGUCGCGCUCUGCCCUCCCCACCACCGCUCGCUCCUUCGCCUCCAGCCUCGCUCGAACCUGUGUGCACAGAAGUAGACGAUGUGAUCCAGCGCGGUGUAGCACGGACGCACCAAGCAGGAAUCAACCAUUCUGAUGUGCAGGAAAGACGCAUAACUCUCCUGCUCCUCACCUCUGCCUUGGUCUUCUCCAGGCGGAGCGCCAUGUCUGCAAACAGAGCUUCACUGUCCUCCAGAACAGCCGACGCUGACACCUGAAACACACACACA